AGACUUUGAUCCUGGCUCAGAUUGAACGCUGGCGGAAUGCUUUACACAUGCAAGUCGAACGGCAGCACGGGAGCUUGCUCCUGGUGGCAAGUGGCGAACGGGUGAGUAAUGCGUCGGAACGUACCGAGUAAGGGGGGAUAACGCGGCGAAAGUCGCGCUAAUACCGCAUACGCCCUGAGGGGGAAAGCGGGGGAUCGCAAGACCUCGCGUUAUUCGAGCGGCCGACGUCUGAUUAGCUAGUUGGUGGGGUAAAGGCUCACCAAGGCGACGAUCAGUAGCGGGUCUGAGAGGAUGAUCCGCCACACUGGGACUGAGACACGGCCCAGACUCCUACGGGAGGCAGCAGUGGGGAAUUUUGGACAAUGGGGGCAACCCUGAUCCAGCCAUUCCGCGUGAGUGAAGAAGGCCUUCGGGUUGUAAAGCUCUUUCAGCUGGAGCGAAACGGUACGCUCUAACAUAGCGUGCUAAUGACGGUACCAGCAGAAGAAGCACCGGCUAACUACGUGCCAGCAGCCGCGGUAAUACGUAGGGUGCGAGCGUUAAUCGGAAUUACUGGGCGUAAAGCGUGCGCAGGCGGAUUGUUAAGCAAGACGUGAAACCCCCGGGCUUAACCU
rnacentral:rRNA from 1 species